rnacentral:rRNA from 1 species
UACGUAGGGAGCGAAGCGUUGUCCGGAAUCAUUGGUGCGUAAAAGCGCGCGUAGGUGGCUUCGUAAGUCCGCUGUGAAAGUCAAAGGCUCAACCUUUGAAAGCCGGUGGAUACUGUGAAGCUAAGAGUACGGGAAGAGGCGAGUGGGAAUUCCUGGUGUAGCGGUGGAAUGCGCAGAUAUCAGGAGGAACACCAAUAGCGAAGGCAGCUCGCUGGGACGUUACUGACACUGAGGCGCGAAAGCGUGGGGAGCGAAACGGG